rnacentral:rRNA from 1 species
CCUACGGGGGGCAGCAGUGGGGAAUAUUGGACAAUGGGGGGAACCCUGAUCCAGCCAUGCCGCGUGUGUGAAGAAGGCCCUCGGGUUGUAAAGCACUUUCAGUGAGGAAGAACGCCUGGUGGUUAAUACCCAUCAGGAAAGACAUCACUCACAGAAGAAGCACCGGCUAACUCCGUUCCAGCAGCCGCGGUAAUACGGAGGGUGCGAGCGUUAAUCGGAAUUACUGGGCGUAAAGCGCGCGUAGGUGGCUUGAUAAGCCGGUUGUGAAAGCCACGGGCUCAACCUGGGAACGGCAUCCGGAACUGUCAAGCUAGAGUGCAGGAGAGGAAGGUAGAAUUCCCGGUGUAGCGGUGAAAUGCGUAGAGAUCGGGAGGAAUACCAGUGGCGAAGGCGGCCUUCUGGACUGACACUGACACUGAGGUGCGAAAGCGUGGGUAGCAAACAGGAUUAGAUACCCUGGUAGUC